rnacentral:rRNA from 1 species
UACGUAGGUGGCGAGCGUUGUCCGGAUUUAUUGGGCGUAAAGAGCUCGUAGGUGGUUCGGCAAGUCAGUUGUGAAAUCUCCGCGCUCAACGCGGAGGGGUCAGCUGAAACUGCUGUGACUUGAGUCUGGUAGGGGAGUGUGGAAUUCCCGGUGUAGCGGUGAAAUGCGCAGAUAUCGGGAGGAACACCAGUGGCGAAGGCGGCACUCUGGGCCAGUACUGACACUGAGGAGCGAAAGCCAGGGGAGCAAACGGG